rnacentral:rRNA from 1 species
AGCAGCCGCGGUAAUUCCAGCUCCAAUAGCGUAUAUUAAAGUUGCUGCAGUUAAAAAGCUCGUAGUUGAAUUUCGGGACCACUAUGUCGGUCGUGCUUCGGUACGUACUGUCAUUAUUGGUUUCUCCCUUCUGAAGAACCUUGAUGUCAUUAAUUUGGUGUCUUGGGGAAUCAGGACUGUUACUUUGAAAAAUUAGAGUGUUUAAAGCAGGCUCGCGCUUGAAUACAUUAGCAUGGAAUAAUGAAAUAGGACGUUUGAUUCUAUUUUGUUGGUUUCUAGGAUCGACGUAAUGAUUAAUAGGGAUAGUUGGGGGCAUUAGUAUUCAAUUGUCAGAGGUGAAAUUCUUGGAUUUAUUGAAGACUAACUACUGCGAAAGCAUUUGCCAAGGAUGUUUUCAUUAAUCAAGAACGAAAGUUAGGGGAUCGAAGACGAUCAGAUACCGUCGUAGUC